rnacentral:rRNA from 1 species
UUAAGCGACUAAGCGUACACGGUGGAUGCCCUGGCAGUCAGAGGCGAUGAAGGACGUGCUAAUCUGCGAAAAGCGUCGGUAAGGUGAUAUGAACCGUUAUAACCGGCGAUGUCCGAAUGGGGAAACCCAGUGCAAUUCGUUGCACUAUCGUUAACUGAAUACAUAGGUUAACGAGGCGAACCGGGGGAACUGAAACAUCUAAGUACCCCGAGGAAAAGAAAUCAACCGAGAUUCCCCCAGUAGCGGCGAGCGAACGGGGAGCAGCCCAGAGUCUGAAUCAGCUUGUGUGUUAGUGGAACGGUCUGGAAAGUCCGACGGUACAGGUGAUAGUCCCGUACACCAAAAUGCACAGGCUGUGAACUCGAAGAGUAGGGCGGGACACGUGGUAUCCUGUCUGAAUAUGGGGGGACCAUCCUCCAAGGCUAAAUACUCCUGACUGACCGAUAGUGAACCAGUACCGUGAGGGAAAGGCGAAAAGAACCCCGGCGAGGGGAGUGAAAAAGAACCUGAAACCGUGUACGUACAAGCAGUGGGAGCACCUUCGGGUGUGACUGCGUACCUUUUGUAUAAUGGGUCAGCGACUUAUAUUCUGUAGCAAGGUUAACCGUAUAGGGGAGCCGCAGGGAAACCGAGUCUUAACUGGGCGUUAAGUUGCAGGGUAUAGACCCGAAACCCGGUGAUCUAGCCAUGGGCAGGUUGAAGGUGGGUAACACUAACUGGAGGACCGAACCGACUAAUGUUGAAAAAUUAGCGGAUGACUUGUGGCUGGGGGUGAAAGGCCAAUCAAACCGGGAGAUAGCUGGUUCUCCCCGAAAGCUAUUUAGGUAGCGCCUCGUGAAUUCAUCUUCGGGGGUAGAGCACUGUUUCGGCUAGGGGGUCAUCCCGACUUACCAACCCGAUGCAAACUACGAAUACCGAAGAAUGUUAUCACGGGAGACACACGGCGGGUGCUAACGUCCGUCGUGAAGAGGGAAACAACCCAGACCGCCAGCUAAGGUCCCAAAGUCAUGGUUAAGUGGGAAACGAUGUGGGAAGGCACAGACAGCCAGGAUGUUGGCUUAGAAGCAGCCAUCAUUUAAAGAAAGCGUAAUAGCUCACUGGUCGAGUCGGCCUGCGCGGAAGAUGUAACGGGGCUAAACCAUGCACCGAAGCUGCGGCAGCGACACUAUGUGUUGUUGGGUAGGGGAGCGUUCUGUAAGCCUGCGAAGGUGUGCUGUGAGGCAUGCUGGAGGUAUCAGAAGUGCGAAUGCUGACAUAAGUAACGAUAAAGCGGGUGAAAAGCCCGCUCGCCGGAAGACCAAGGGUUCCUGUCCAACGUUAAUCGGGGCAGGGUGAGUCGACCCCUAAGGCGAGGCCGAAAGGCGUAGUCGAUGGGAAACAGGUUAAUAUUCCUGUACUUGGUGUUACUGCGAAGGGGGGACGGAGAAGGCUAUGUUAGCCGGGCGACGGUUGUCCCGGUUUAAGCAUGUAGGCUGGUUGUCCAGGCAAAUCCGGAUAAUCAAGGCUGAGGUGUGAUGACGAGGCACUACGGUGCUGAAGUAACAAAUGCCCUGCUUCCAGGAAAAGCCUCUAAGCAUCAGGUAACAUCAAAUCGUACCCCAAACCGACACAGGUGGUCAGGUAGAGAAUACCAAGGCGCUUGAGAGAACUCGGGUGAAGGAACUAGGCAAAAUGGUGCCGUAACUUCGGGAGAAGGCACGCUGGUGUGUAGGUGAAGUCCCUGCGGAUGGAGCUGAGACCAGUCGAAGAUACCAGCUGGCUGCAACUGUUUAUUAAAAACACAGCACUGUGCAAACACGAAAGUGGACGUAUACGGUGUGACGCCUGCCCGGUGCCGGAAGGUUAAUUGAUGGGGUUAUCCGUAAGGAGAAGCUCUUGAUCGAAGCCCCGGUAAACGGCGGCCGUAACUAUAACGGUCCUAAGGUAGCGAAAUUCCUUGUCGGGUAAGUUCCGACCUGCACGAAUGGCGUAAUGAUGGCCAGCUGUCUCCACCCGAGACUCAGUGAAAUUGAACUCGCUGUGAAGAUGCAGUGUACCCGCGGCAAGACGGAAAGACCCCGUGAACCUUUACUAUAGCUUGACACUGAACAUUGAGCCUUGAUGUGUAGGAUAGGUGGGAGGCUUUGAAGCGUGGACGCCAGUCUGCGUGGAGCCAACCUUGAAAUACCACCCUUUAAUGUUUGAUGUUCUAACGUUGGCCCUUACCGGGGUUGCGGACAGUGUCUGGUGGGUAGUUUGACUGGGGCGGUCUCCUCCCAAAGCGUAACGGAGGAGCACGAAGGUUAGCUAAUCCUGGUCGGACAUCAGGAGGUUAGUGCAAUGGCAUAAGCUAGCUUGACUGCGAGCGUGACGGCGCGAGCAGGUGCGAAAGCAGGUCAUAGUGAUCCGGUGGUUCUGAAUGGAAGGGCCAUCGCUCAACGGAUAAAAGGUACUCCGGGGAUAACAGGCUGAUACCGCCCAAGAGUUCAUAUCGACGGCGGUGUUUGGCACCUCGAUGUCGGCUCAUCACAUCCUGGGGCUGAAGUAGGUCCCAAGGGUAUGGCUGUUCGCCAUUUAAAGUGGUACGCGAGCUGGGUUUAGAACGUCGUGAGACAGUUCGGUCCCUAUCUGCCGUGGGCGCUGGAGAAUUGAGGGGGGCUGCUCCUAGUACGAGAGGACCGGAGUGGACGCAUCACUGGUGUUCGGGUUGUCAUGCCAAUGGCACUGCCCGGUAGCUAAAUGCGGAAGAGAUAAGUGCUGAAAGCAUCUAAGCACGAAACUUGCCCCGAGAUGAGUUCUCCCUGAGACUUUAAGUCUCCUGAAGGAACGUUGAAGACGACGACGUUGAUAGGCCGGGUGUGUAAGCGCAGCGAUGCGUUGAGCUAACCGGUACUAAUGAACCGUGAGGCUUAACCUU